UGUCAGCGGUGGGAUUCGAACCCACGCUUCUUUGAGACUCGUGCCUAAAACCAGCGCCUUAGACCACCCGACCCCGCUACCGAC